rnacentral:rRNA from 1 species
UACGUAGGGGGCUAGCGUUGUCCGGAAUCAUUGGGCGUAAAGAGCGUGUAGGCGGCCCGGUAAGUCCGCUGUGAAAGUCGGGGGCUCAACCCUCGAAUGCCGGUGGAUACUGUCGGGCUAGAGUGCGGAAGAGGCGAGUGGAAUUCCUGGUGUAGCGGUGAAAUGCGCAGAUAUCUGGAGGAACACCCGUGGCGAAGGCGGCUCCCUGGUCCGAUUCUGACGCUGAGACGCGAAAGCGCGGGGAGCGAACGGG